CUGAAAUUGCUGAAAAGGAAGCGAUUGGGACCCUUCCGAUUCCAAGAAGUGCCGCCGGGGUUUGCCAUCUAUCCCUUUGCCUUCUCUCUCUCACCAGGUUUAGGCUUAGGUUUUUCGAUGUAUUUCCGGUUAAUCUUUUUGGAGAGGUCAGCAUCAGCUACUCGGAAUUGAUUUCGUUCAAAGAAGGUAGGUUCCUUGUGGACCCUUAUAACUUUGUUCUUUCCUUUUCCUUGUGGCUGAGGAGUGUUUUGGUUUCCGAGCUCCACUUUCGAGUACUCGGUUUCUGUGAUGCUGGCUUAAUCGGUUCCAACCGACCCGUCUUGAAACACGGACCAAGGAGUCUAACAUAUGUGCGAGUAUGCGGGUUUUACUCCUGUAUGCGCAAUGAAAGUGAGAGUAGGGAGAUUUUGGCUUUGCCAUUCUUCGCACCUACGACCGACCACGAUCUCUGAGAGAGGUUUGAGUUGGAGCAUAUCUGUUAGGACCCGAAAGAUGGUGAACUAUGCCUGAGUAGAAUGAAGUCAGGGGAAACCCUGAUGGAGGUUCGUAGCGAUACUGACGUGCAAAUCGUUCGUCAAACUUGGGUAUAGGGGCGAAAGACUAAUCGAACCAUC
rnacentral:rRNA from 1 species